GCUAUUUUUACAUGGAGGUAAUCUUCUAUUGAUAAUUUCUGGAUUUUAAUUAUGCGUAAGUUGCAUGAAACUAUUGUUUAAUCACUCACUGUUGUUUUCAAAUUACUUAUGUAACUUGUCUUUCAGAAUUUUUUCAGCUGUUGAAUUCACCUCAGAUCAGUGUUGCUGUAAUUCCUGAUGGAAAGAAGAAUUGAAUGAGCGAGCAACACCACAACUACAGGACCUCUUCUUUCUCUUCUCAUAAUUUAACUGGAUUAUCCGUUGAAUUUGUUUCUUCCUCUGACUGCUUUCUCCACACCAACAACUACGGCUGGUCUUCAGCUGCGCUCCCCGGUCUGCUGUAUUCUCCAGUCCAGAGCUUCACUGCCCAGUGUUUGAAUUUUAAUUUAUAUAUUUAUUUAUAUAUUUAUUUACAUUUUAAUGAUUUCUUGUUUACUUUUCUUGUUUGU